rnacentral:rRNA from 1 species
UCUUCCGCAAUGGACGAGAGUCUGACGGAGCAACGCCGCGUGAGUGAAGAAGGCCUCCGGGUCGUAAAACUCUGUUGCCGGGGAAGAANAAGUGCCGUUCGAACAGGGCGGUGCCCUGACGGUACCCGGCCAGAAAGCCACGGCUAACUACGUGCCAGCAGCCGCGGUAAUACGUAGGUGGCAAGCGUUGUCCGGAAUUAUUGGGCGUAAAGCGCGCGCAGGCGGCUUCUUAAGUCUGAUGUGAAAUCUUGCGGCUCAACCGCAAGCGGUCAUUGGAAACUGGGAGGCUUGAGUGCAGAAGAGGAGAGUGGAAUUCCACGUGUAGCGGUGAAAGGCGUAGAGAUGUGGAGGAACACCAGUGGCGAAGGCAGCUCUCUGGUCUGUAGCUGACGCUGAGGCGCGAAAGCGUGGGGAGCAAACAGG